rnacentral:tRNA from 1 species
AAACUUAGGGUAACACA